AGAGAAUAACACAAGAUUCAAGUUACAGUCAUUUGUUGAAAUCCAAAAAUUUGUUGCCAUAAGCCAAUUACAUGUUCUGGCACCUAAGUAUGUUAUCUCCUUAUGAAGCCUAUGGCACUUUGAUAUUAGCUCAUAAUAGAUGGCCCAAAAAAGAUACUUUUCCAACAAGUUUUUCUCAAUCUUAUACUUCAUAAUUUCAGAGGUUGUAUGAACCCACAUGAUCUUUCUCCCCAGAAUUAAAAACACGAGCUGGUCAUGGAAGCACUUUGAACAAUAUUAGAAACAGUAAUUAUCUGCUAUUGUGCCUUCAAUGAAUUAACAUGAAGGCAUAUAGUCUAGCAGCAAUGAGAGAUCCCGGAUUGUUUCAAACAUCCCCUUGGCAUGGACAUGCAUGUUUUCCCUGCUGAAUUUAGUGAGUUGACCUAUCCUUGAAAUGCUCAAAUUACAAUAGAAUAAAGCCAAGGCAUACACACACAACAUAGAUACAGACACAGACAUACAUCCUGACUACUGGAUCCUACCCCCUUGUGAAUGCAACAAUAAUUCAGUAUCAACCCUCACUUCUUCAGAAGCAGGAAGGGGAUAUUUGCUGCACUAACAUUCUUCCCUUCGCAUAAAUGCACAUGCACAAACACACACAGACUCGAUCAAUUUUAAAUAUAUAGUUUAAGAGUAUAACAUAAAGGAUGCCUUCUAACAUGCAAA
rnacentral:misc_RNA from 1 species